rnacentral:rRNA from 1 species
CCUACGGGAGGCAGCAGUGGGGAAUAUUGGGCAAUGGAGGAAACUCUGACCCAGCGACGCCGCGUGCGGGAUGAAGGCCUUCGGGUUGUAAACCGCUUUCAGCAGGGAAGAAGCGAAAGUGACGGUACCUGCAGAAGAAGCACCGGCUAACUAUGUGCCAGCAGCCGCGGUAAUACAUAGGGUGCAAGCGUUGUCCGGAAUUAUUGGGCGUAAAGAGCUCGUAGGUGGUUCGUCACGUCGGAUGUGAAAAUCUGGGGCUUAACCCCAGACCUGCAUUCGAUACGGGCGAGCUUGAGUAUGGUAGGGGAGUCUGGAAUUCCUGGUGUAGCGGUGGAAUGCGCAGAUAUCAGGAGGAACACCAAUGGCGAAGGCAGGACUCUGGGCCAUUACUGACACUGAGGAGCGAAAGCGUGGGGAGCGAACAGGAUUAGAUACCCUGGUAGUCCACGCCGUAAACGGUGGGCACUAGUUGUGGGGACCUUCCACGGUCUCUGCGACGCAGCUACGCAUAAGUGCCCGCCGUCGGGAGGUACGAGUCGCGAAGAAUUAAACUACAAAUAGAAGUUAGACGGCGUGAGACGUGCCGACGGACGACGACGAGGGAGGUUAGG